rnacentral:rRNA from 1 species
AUUGAACGCUGGCGGAAUGCUUUACACAUGCAAGUCGAACGGCAGCACGGGAGCUUGCUCCUGGUGGCGAGUGGCGAACGGGUGAGUAAUAUAUCGGAACGUAUCCAAUCAUGGGGGAUAACUAGUAGAAAGAUUAGCUAAUACCGCAUACGCCCUGAGGGGGAAAGCUACGGACCGCAAGGCCUGGCGUUAAUGGAGCGGCCGAUAUCUGAUUAGCUAGUUGGGGAGGUAAAGGCUCACCAAGGCGACGAUCAGUAGCUGGUCUGAGAGGACGACCAGCCACACUGGAACUGAGACACGGUCCAGACUCCUACGGGAGGCAGCAGUGGGGAAUUUUGGACAAUGGGCGCAAGCCUGAUCCAGCCAUUCCGCGUGAGUGAAGAAGGCCUUCGGGUUGUAAAGCUCUUUCGCAAGGGAAGGAAACUUACCCUCUAACAUAGGGUGAGGCUGACGGUACCUUGAUAAGCAGCACCGGCUAACUACGUGCCAGCCGCCGCCGUAA